ACAACGUUUGGACCGCCGCUCUAUCGAACAAUACACCACACGCUCCGUGGAAGAUCUUCCCUUUGUCGU
rnacentral:pre_miRNA from 1 species